rnacentral:rRNA from 1 species
AGAGUUUGAUCCUGGCUCAGAAUAAACGCUGGCGGCGUGCCUAACACAUGCAGUCGAGCGAGAAAGUUCCUUCGGGAAUGAGUAAAGCGGCAGACGGGUGAGGAACACGUGAGAACCUACCCUUUGGUGAAGAAUACCCUCGAGAAAUCGAGGCUAAUACUGCAUAAGUCCCUACGGGGAGAAAGGUGCCUUCAUGCUACCGCUGAAGGAUGGGCUUGCGGGCUAUUAGCUAGUUGGUGAGGUAAUGGCUUACCAAGGCAGAGAUGGCUAACCGGCCUGAGAGGGUGUACGGUCACACUGGAACUGAGACACGGUCCAGACUCCUACGGGAGGCAGCAGUGAGGAAUAUUGCGCAAUGGGCGAAAGCCUGACGCAGCGACGCCGCGUGGAGGAUGAAGGUUUUCGGAUUGUAAACUCCUGUUAAGUGGGAAGAAAUCUCUGUUUCUAAUACAAAUGGGGGUGACGGUACCACUAGAGAAAGCACCGGCUAACUCGUGCCAGCAGCCGCGGUAAUAC